UUUUUUUUUUUUUUUUUCCCCUCUAUUACCUUUCCAUGAUAUGUAUCUGAUGCUGUAUUGCUGAAAUGCACCAAGGCUUUAGCAAUUAGGAAUGGGCAGUAGAAACUUCACCUUUCUGACCAAGCUUGGGUUCCUCACUGGAAACAUUAACAGGUGCCUCUACUGUCACUGCAGGCAUAUCCAACAUUGGCAUUAUGGGAGGUUUCAUUCUUCGUGUGACCGUCAUCUUUAACCCUUCUGUUGUGUGGAUUGUUGCUCCUGUUGUCAUCUUAACCUGCAUAGUUAAUGAAUUUUUAGAUAUCUGCAUCAUCUUUUCUCUAACUGUGAUCUAGCUUUGAUAACAUUCUACGGCAUAACGAGUAAAAGACCUGAGAAGACUGUCUGUUGGUUCUGGAAAAUUUAUAAAAUCCAUUGAUCACACCUUUGGUUUAUUCGUAACAUCUAUAAAUCGGGGCUAGCAUUUUCAGAACCAAGUUAUCUGAGGGGCAUUAUUAAGUUUAUUUUACAUGUUUAACUUACUGGAGGUGCUCCAAAUGCCAUUUGAAAGUUGAAUCUCCGAACAAGCAUGGCAACAGCAACAACAGUCUAUAAAUCAAUAUAAUGAAAGGUCAGAUCUUAUAACACAAAUCCAAAUGCUUGCCAAAUUGUGGCAGUAUAUUAGCUACCAAUGAGUUGAAUAGUUAUGUCCUUCCAGCAACAAAUUACCUCAAAUGACGCAAACAUGUCCCCUACACAUUUCCGUGGUCCUCCACCAAAGGGCAAGUAACAGAAAUUUUGGUUGGUCUCAUUUGGGUUGGGUCCAUCUAAAGGCCAUCUUUCAGGGUUGAACUUUUCGGCAUCAUCCCAUAGAUGAGGACUUCGAUGCAGGUUCCAGACAGAAAUAAAUAUAUCUUCAUCCCUUUUUAUGGGGUACUUUCCAAGCAUAUCAUUCUCUAAAGAACGACGAAUUAAAAUGGGCGGUUGAGGAUAGAGCCUCAAAGAUUCAUUAAUUACUCGAGUUGUGUACUUGAGUUUCUUCAUGUCUUCUAUAGUUGGAAAUCGAUCUCCUAGAACAGAAUCAACCUCAUUUUGGAGCUUGGACAUGACACUUGGCUCCUUGGAUAAAAGAUAAAAUGUCCACGUUAAAACUGCAGCUGAUGUUUCAUGUCCAGCUAUAAGCAUUGUCAUCAAGUCAUCCCGAAGUUGCUUGCUAGAAACGUCAUCUCCUGAUGCCAACAGGAAGUGAAGAAUACUUGGAUCUUGUUCAUUCACGUAUUCCUCAUGAAACUGUAGCUCUUCUUCAUCUACCAUCCGCUUGCAUAUUGCGAUAAGCUCAUUAAGUGUAUCAUUGAUCAACUUGAGGGCUGCUGAAACUUUCCUUUGGCGAGGUGAAAUGUCUUUCCAAACUGGGAUCUCCCAGACUGGAAUUGGUGCAACACUUCGAUCUUCUGCUUCUCUAAGGACUGUGUAAACAGCCUCAACUAUUCCAGCAUCAACUGUAAGUGAAUCAAACUCAUAAUUAAAUACUGCCUUGCCAAUGAUGUCUAGUGUCAAACGAGAGAAAAGUGAUUCCAUCUCUACAUCUUCCCCAUCAGAUGCAGCUGCAUCUAGCUUCUUGCAAAGCCUAUCUGUUGCUUGUGCAAAUAGGCCAAUCAUGGCCGCUACAUACUUCUGAUGCAAUGCUGGGACUAUAGCACGUCGUCGAACACGCCAUACUUCUCCAUCAGCUGGGAUGAGUCCCUUCCCCAUGACAAAUUCAAGAAUUUCUGCUAAGAUACCUUUUGAAUACGCUUUGGAAUUGUCCUUCAGUAUAUGUUUGGCAAUAGAAGGAUCAGAAACAAUUAAAACGGACUUAGGUCCAAAAGUCAAUCUAAAAAUUCCACCAUAUGCGAGGUAAAGCUCAUACAAGGGUAUGAAGAAUGCCUCACUCCUAAUGGCACUAACUGCUCCUUUUGCCUCAGGAAUCUUUGGAUAAUCUUCACCAUCAUCAACCCAUUUGAGUAAAAAUUCCAAAAUCUCAUUUGGAACACCUAGUUUUGACAAACCAUUCUUCAAUAUUGAUGGAAAACCAGAUUUCUUUACAGUGAACUCCCCAGAAGCAAUCCUAGCAGACAAUUCGGCACGUCGUUUUUCUUCAAGAAUUCUCUCUACACUCUCGACUCCACCUUCAGUUGACUCGGGCUCUUUCCCAUUCGAAGAAGCGCAAGAAAUAACAGCCAAUUUACACUUCCCACUUUGGAUUGGAGCGAAUAAAGAUGGAUUUAUGGGUUUAAAUUUUUUGACCAGAAGUUUGCUUUGGAUAGAGUGGUGCUGGUGCUGGUGUUGAGAAGAUAAGGAUGAAGGGACUUGAAGUAGAGAAAAAUGGGCAGCCAUUAGCCGCUGCCCUCUCUUGGUUUCGGAGGCUGCAGAGAAGAAUUAAAUGAAAAUCUAGGACUAUUAGCGAUGAUCAAUAGUGAGAAGAGAGGGAAAGUAGCGGACGAUGGGGUCUAUCUAUGAGUUUAUGUGUUUG
rnacentral:misc_RNA from 1 species